GAUGAAGCCGAGCUUGCUGGGUGGAUUAGUGGCGAACGGGUGAGUAACACAUGAGUAACCUGCCCUUGACUCUGGGAUGAGCCUGGGAAACUGGGUCUAAUACCGGAUAGGAGCGCCUACCGCAUGGUGGGUGUUGGAAAGAUUUAUCGGUUUUGGAUGGACUCGCGGCCUAUCAGCUUGUUGGUGAGGUAAUGGCUCACCAAGGCUACCACGGGUAGCCGGCCUGAGAGGGUGACCGGCCACACUGGGACUGACACACGGCCCACACUCCUGCGGGAGGCAGCAUUGGGGAAUAUUGCACAAUGGGCGCAAGCCUGAUGCAGCGACGCCCCGUGAGGGAUGACGGCCUUCGGGUUGUAAACCUCUUUCAGUACGGAAGAAGCGAAUGUGACGGUACCUGCAGAAUAAUCCCGGCUAACUCGUGCCAACGCCGCCGUCUACUUAGGGUGCCACUUUAUCCGGAGUUAUUGGGCGUAAGAGCUCGUAGCGGUUUGUCGCGUCUGUCCUGAACUCCGGCGCUUACCCCGGAUCUCCGUGCGUCUGCCAGACUAGAGUGCGUAGGGGAACUGGAAUUCCUGGUGGACGGUGGAUACGCAGAUAUCAUGAGGACCCCGAUGGCGAGGCGGUCUCUGGCUGUACUGAGCUGAGUGCGAAACAUGGUAGCGAACAGACACAUACCCUGUAUCCAUGCCGUAACGUGGGCACUACUGUGUGACCUUCCCUGUUCCCGCCGCUCUACGCAUUAGUGCCCGCCUGUGAGUCGGCCCAGGCAAACUCAAUGAUUGCGAG
rnacentral:rRNA from 1 species